CAGGCCCGAGGGCAUCAGUGAGGGAGGGGGACAGCCACCAGCUGACACUGCACUUUGGCCCGGGGGGUGGGGCUGGGGGACAUCGGGCCUUGGGCUCUGGUUUCCUCACUCUCUCGGCCAGAGCUCGGGUGGCUCGCCAUGUCUGCUUCUUUUUUUUAAUUGAGACCUAAAUGAUGAAUGUAACCACAAGGUUGGCAGGGACCAGGGUAGCUUUUAAGGGCAUUCUGGUAUUACGGGGGUGAAGGAAGAGGGGGCAAGCCACAGGGAUUCCCCCUUCCCUUUGGUGGGGCCUUACCCCAGAACAGAUUCUCCCCAAACCCGGGAUGGAGUUUGGGGGGGCAGCCCUAACCUAUAUCCAUCGCCAGUCCAACUUGGGGCUCCCCAGCCCUCCCGAAUCACAGGACGGCCGGAGGGUUGAAUCUAAACCAAAGCUGCCUGCAAUCCUCCAUCCCGACAGGGCUUCAAGACCACGUCUUCCCAGACACUCUAGUUCAACUCCACUCCCCCCUUCCGCCCCAACCCGACCUGCGCAGUGUUUACAUGUGUUUUUGCUGCUGCCUCCCCCCCGAACCCCCAAAGGGAGGCAUCUCUGGGGGGAGACCCCACCUGCGGCUCUCCCCCCACAAUCCCCCAGCCUCCGAGUUUCCCUUAUGAACUCUGACCCGGGGCUGACGAAAAUAAGGGAUGAGGGAGCCUGCCCUAGUCUCUCUCCCUCCCGGGUCUCUUCCUAGUUUAAACCUGUUUAGCCUGGGCUGUGGGAGAAGGGAGACAAGAGGCAGGACUCCCUUCUCCAGCGCCGGUAACCGCUCCUUCCUGAGGAAAGCCGCAGGUUUCUGCCCCUUCCAAGUCUUCUAUUAAGUGAAGUCCAGGCUCCUCCAACUGGGGCAACUCUGGGGAGGAAUGGGGGGAUGGGCCGCAUCCCCCUCCCCUCCCCAAACCUCACCUCAGGUGCUAGCUGGGGGGGACCUGGGGCUGCCACCUUCUGAUUCCUUCUAAGUAGCUGUGGGGAGCCCGGCGGCACCUGGCUGCGGUGACUCGGGAGGCGGGCUCCUGGAUGCCUGGGUAGGAAGCCACCGACGAGCCCUGCCCCAAGCACACCUGUCCUGCCGCCCGGAGAAGUCGAAGCAGGUCUAGCGAUGCCUUACGGAGUUCCCCUGGUGGGAGCGUGUGCACGUCGUGUCCGCACGUGCCUGGGCGUGAGGGUCCGGCUUUGCGCCUGGGCACCGGCGCCCUGAGGGCGUGCCUGUGUGCGUCCGUCCGUCUGUGUGUCUGUCUGUCUGUGUGUGCACACGCGUGUGUAUGGUGUAUGUGUACGUGGGCCCACACUGGUUGGGGGAGAAGAGAGAGAAUGUCUACCACCGUUGUGUGACCGGUAAGCCUGAUGCUCUCAGCCAUCGGCAUCCUCUCCUCUCCUCGCCCGCCCCUGGAGGCUCCCUGAGAGCGAUGCCGUCUCCAUGCAGCAUCCUGUAAAUACACCAUUAUGGGGGGAAGGGGAUGAGAGGGAAUUAAAGAUCACAUCCUGGGGCUUCCAUGGAGCUCACACUCACACUCUUGGUCUCUUUAUUGACUUGACUUUUUCUUUUUGAAGCCUUCCAUCUGGAUUAAUACUGUGUAUUGGCUCCAAGACAAGAGUGGCCAGGGCUAGGCAAUGGGGGUCAAGUGACUUGCCCAGGGUCACACAGCUGGGAAGUGUCUGAGGCCAGAUUUGAACCUAGGACCUCCCGUCUCUAA
rnacentral:lncRNA from 1 species